UUUGUGCCUCUAAGCUGUAGGGUCUGCUUGUCUUCUUUCUGAGAUUUACACUUUAAUCUUUGAAGCAAUACUCACAUAAAUGGGCACUGAAUAUUUAGUAAAGCUUUCCAAAGAUUUACACUGUCAUCGUUCAAGCAAUGCUCACCAGAGUGGGGACAACGUUUAGUAAAGCUUCCCAAGUGUAGGCAAUUUGAUGUUUACUUAGUAAAAUCACCCCGGGUUACUGAAAUAAAAUGGUUCUCUCAUAAGGGCGCAAUGAUGAUUGAUUAAUUUUGGCUCUUUUUUUUAUUUACUUUAUUUAUUUAAUGUUAAUGCAUGCCGUUAGCUACAGCAUCACCAUUAUGCACACACUCUUCAAGACCCCCAUUAUUGUCCUCUCUGUGUGAAAUGCGUAGGGAAAGUACUUAUAGAACACGAAAUCCGAACUGUGACCUCGGUAUUUCGUGUCACUGGCCAGUGUUCAGUUACAUGAUGCUGUAAGGCCCCUUUCAGACGUAUCGACUUUACGCCGUCCGCCGUCCACGGCACGACGUCGUUCUCUCAAAUAACCAUGGAUGUCUAUGGACGCCUUCACACGUAUCGACCGACGCCGUGAACGACUUGGCGCCGUGGACGGCCGCCGUUGUCACAACGGCGCCCAUUUGGAAAUGGCACGGCGUUGCGCCGUCGACGGCGUGAAAUGUACACAGGUCUCUAUGGACUUGUUCAAACGUGUCGACGUUCCGCCGUCUGAAGUGGACGGCGCGAGUAGCGUGUCACACCACUUCAGUCGUUUCCUGACCACAGACGUGUUUAUAGUAUUGCUCACCAUUGAUAAUGGAAGACGUUGAUGUAGACGUUGAAUUGUUGAUUAGCCUGGUUGAAGAGAGGCCUGUUCUCUGGGACAAAAGCCUUGAAGCAUAUAAGUCCAAGACUGAAACCACUGCAGCAUGGAGGGAAGUCUGCAAUCAUCUGAACCCGGGCUUUGAGUCUAUGAGUGACGAUGCAAAGAACAUUUUUUGAUGGCAAAGUAGAGGACUCAACCUGUUUCUUUGCUCAUUCUGAAGUAGUUGAAAAACUUUUUUGUAUCUCUUCUGAGUUCCUCAUACAGUGUGACAAAAGCUCCAACCACUGGUCUGGCAACAUUGAUAUUAUGGACCCACUUUCUGCUGUGUGAAAGUUGUUUUUUUCUUUUUAAAUAUAAGUAAUAUAGGUAGAGCAGGUGGUCCUGUGUGUCCAUGAUGAAAGAAUGGAGGCAACUGGCAGGUGGACGGCACAGGCCGUGCCGUUGUGUCAACGGCGCCCGCCGUCGACACCACGGCGCUCUCUCUGGAAUGCACGGCGCUGGGUCCUAGACGGCGGACGGCGUAAAGUCGAUACGUCUGAAAGGGGCCUAAAGGGUCUUCGGGUCCUCUAGGCUCAGUUCCCUAACCUUGCUCUGUACAGUCGCUCUUCCUUCUUAUAAGCAGAAAUGCCGCCGAAGUCCCGAGCGGCUUCGAGACAAGGAAGAGAAGCCACGCGUCUCACUUCAGCCAGUCAGUCAGUGGUCAGUGGCGUCAGCUUUGUUGUAGUAUACACGCGAGUCUUCUGUGAUUUCUUGAACGCUUAUUCGGGCUUUAGGUGAACCAAAAUUCUCCCAGAGCCUGGUUACAGUGGUCAGCAGCUGUGACACAAGGAGCAGCUCUCUCAGCGACGGGGAGCGGUGGACUGCGGAUGAAUACCUCGGCUCCCGCGCCUUCUUCCGCAUCAUGUCCGACCCGCCGAUCCUGGUGGUGGGCGGCGUGCGUUAGAGGAGUUGAAAAAUGUGAGAGAAGACACAGUAUGUUGAGGGAAGGCAGCUGCACCAGUGACAGCAGCAGCAGAACAUUGAACAUUUAUUUAUAGCCAUUACAUACAUUGUAUAUUUAUAUUCCAUAAAUUUUUUAUUAUG